rnacentral:rRNA from 1 species
UGUCUAAGGCAUGCAAGUCGAACGGUUCACAUGCGAUUACAUCAAAGGUGGAUAGUGGCAAACGGGAGCGGAACACAUUGGUAACGUACCUUCAGGCCGUGAACAACCAUUGGAAACGAUGGCUAACACACGAUAUUGUCCCAACGGUCAACGUUGGGAUGAAAGGCUUGCCACCUGAAGAGCGGCCUAUGUCCUAUCAGCUAGUUGGUGAGGUAAUGGCUCACCAAGGCUAUGACGGGUACCGGGCGUGAGAGCGUGGCCCGGCUCACUGGGACUGAGACACUGCCCAGACUCCUACGGGAGGCUGCAGUCAAGAAUCUUCCGCAAUGCACGAAAGUGUGACGGAGCAAUGCCGCGUGAUCGAUGAAGGCCUUCGGGUCGUAAAGAUC